rnacentral:sRNA from 1 species
CGAACCGUGUCUCGGGAGCCUUAGAGAUGGAGACUGACGUGUUCCAAGGGAGAUUGCGGCUCCACUUUCACCCUGGUACUGAGCAGUUGAGCACAAAAUUGAUUGGCCUGGGGUACAUCAUCUAAAGAUCCUAGGAUUGCUGCAGGUCAGCAGUCUCCACUGGAAAAAAAGAUCUUGAAUCUAGGUGGUGUGCAUACAACAGCAGCAAGACAGUUGAUAAUUCAGAAAUAUCAGGAGGAGUGUGAAAUACUCUGUAGGGAGCAAGCUGUUUCUCUUGACUACUGGCUUGCCAAAGCAGAGUCUUAUUAUAAUAAAAUAAUAGUGGAAAUGAUGAAAGAAGAGACAGGCAAUGAAAUCAAGAAAAAAAUGGAGGAGAAAACAACCCAAAGCGUAGAAGGACUAAAACAGUACUAUUUGGUACCUGAGAGAGAGAUGAAACACAUAGAAAGGCACAUAUAUCAAACAGGAAAGGCUGGAGAAUUUAAGAACAAAUCAUUUAGACAAGUACUACGACCCCCCAAUGAAACAAAAUUACCAAAAAUUAUGCCAGAAGGGCAUGGCAUCCAGAACGCACAGAGAAGAAAGCAGGUAAAUGAGAGGGAACAGAUGCAGACUAAGGAUCACCAGGAACGCAUGAUUCGAGGGAGAGAACUUACAGAGCAAAGACUCAAGGAAAGAAUCUUGAGAAGAAGCCAGAGCCAGCUACUUACGUAUGAGAAGCAUGAGAGAGUAAAGAAAGGGAUAAAGGACUUUGAAAGAGUUAUUGCUUAUCCUCUUCUCCAACCAUGCAGUAGAAGUCGGAUUAAAGUGAAUAUUCUUAUGGAAAAGUCUCAGAGUGGAGAGAAGGAGAAUACAAUUGUGAAACCAUAUCAAAGAAAAUUCUUGGCCAUGCCACCGUUUUUAAGAAGUCAAAUAGGAAAAAUAAGAGAUUAAAGUUUCAAUGCUGUUAUGAUAAAAUCAUAUCUCUUAAGUGAACCCUUUUUUUUUUAAAUGCUCGUUCUCUCCAGGGUUCAGUGAAUAUUCCCAUUUGUAUCAGAUACAGAUAGAUAGUUCUGGACUUGAAAAUUAGCUUAACUAUUUUUAGUUAACUUGCAUUUGUUCAAGUUGCAUAUCCUUUCUAGUGUUCAGUGUCUAUCUUUAAAAUGGCAAUAACAAUAUUUGAUUGCAUUUAUGAAAGGACUAUUGUUUUUGUGAAGUGUAGGUAUGUAUUAGUUGUUUCAUAAAUGUUAGUUUCCCCACUUGGGAAGACUGGGGUUGGGCAAUGGUGGUGAAUAAAGAAUUAUUCUAAUCUGCUUCUCUUAUUCUCCCUGCUCCCAGCCCUCCAAGUUUAUUUUGAUGAGAUUGCUAUAGUUUAGUAUAUGGUCUUUAAUAUCAUACCUUCAUCAGAUAACUACUAGCCAGGCCCUAAAAGUGUAACUUGCCCUGUACAAUUUAUUUGUAUGAGAAACUUAAUUUUGAGAGCCUCCUACAUGCUAGGCAUUAUGUUAGUUACUGAAGGUGAAUAAAGAGAAGUCUCUGCCCUUGAAUAGUUUUCAACUAAUGGCAUAGAUCGCUCUAUAAACAGAUAAUGUAGUAAAGGUUACAAUAGAAAGAUACAGGGUGCUUUACAAAGGACGGAUUCUAACCUGGCCCAGGUGAGCAGGGUGGAAAGGAGGAAGGUUAGGGAAGGGAGUAUUAUAGUCUCUCAUGUUUCUUCCAGCUUUUUUUGUCACUUUCUAUCACCCACUUAAGCAAGACCUUCCUAAUGCUUGGAUCCACUCAGGGAUAAUCAAACUCAGCCUUUCUCAAACUCAUGCCUUUGGCACUCAUUGAUAAAUCAGAAAGCAAAUUUAUAAAUUUAGUGAGAAUUACAGUUGUCAAGUAGAAUGAAAUUUAUGUUUUCUAGUCAGUUUAUUUUCUUCCCAGAUACCAGAAAGUUGGGAAAGCAGGGGUUCAGAGUUGGUAAGCAGAGAAGCAAAUAAAUGGAAAUAGAUGCCCUCAGGAAUAUUAUGCUUAAGUUGUGAUAAUUCUGAUGCCCACCUUGCUUUACUAGCAGAACACCCUUUACCCUGGAUACUGCUAGGUCAGCCACUGAUAGAAAUGUUCUAGGUCUGUGCUCCUCAGUACAGUAGCCCUUGCUACAUGUGGCUAUUGAGGCAUUUAAAAUGUGGCUGGUGCAGCUGUGGAAUGGAAUGUUUAAUUGAAUUUCAUUUAAAUUUAAAUUGCCACAUGUGGCAAGUGACUACCCUGUUGUACGGUGCAGCACUGGAUGAACAUAACUCCUGUGUUCUAGACUCCAGUCCCACCAUUAGCUUUCUGUUUUUGACAGUGUUUGCUGGUAUGGUAGGUCACUGCUCAUUUUACAUUACUAUCAGUUUAGUUUCCUUUGUAUUUCAGAGGCUCCCUAAUCCCUUAAAGAGAUUUAAAAAUCAAUGUAGACCACAUCUGUGUGAAAAUAAGAUGGCUGAAUUUGCUUUGAUUGGAAUUAGGAAGUGGCUUCUCUUUGCUAGUUCUGGAAUUUGGCCAGGAUGCACAUCAAAAUCUCAUUCCUACCCUCCUGAUUUGCCUCAUGGAAACUUUGUUGCUGUGUCUGUUCUCUGGUCCUCUAUUGCUGUGUCUGUUCUCUGGUCCUCUAUUGCUAUGUCUCAGCUUUAGAUUCUAUGUUUUGCAUAGAAAUGGAUCAUCAGAAUGCAACAGGCAGAAGACUUAGAAGUGCAAAUCAGUAGGGUAAUGACAAACCCUUUGAGCUGAGUGGGACUGAAAAGUAACCUAACACAUAACCUAUUAGUAAUUGUUUACCAUGAAGGUUUUAAGUGCUGGACACAUAAAUUGCUGAGUUCAAUUGCCCUCUUUCCCCUCCAAAUCUAGCAUAAAAGCAACUGGUGCUCUCAGGGCAAUUUCACACCUAAUAUGACUGAGAAUAAAAGAAUAAAAGUCUAUGUUUCAGGAACUCAGUUUGUCCAAACCUGAAUCCAUCAUCUCUACCUCAAAUUAUAUCCACCUUUUCAUUUCUUUGCACUGUGUCUGCUUAAAUCUUGAGUCACACUUAUUGUUUUUUUUGGUCUUUUUUCUUUUUAAUGUGAAAUAGAAUAUACGAUACACAAUACAAUAUACAAAUGAAAAUGUAUAUUUAGAAGAACAAUAAUAAUGUCCAGGUGCCCGUUGCUCAGAUGAGAAAUGGAACAUUACUACAUCCCAGGAGCCUCAUAUGCUCUCAUUCAUAUCUCUCUCCCCCGCAGCCAGAGGCAACCACUAUCCUGAAUUUUGUAUAACUGUCACCUAGCUUUUAUAGAUUUUACUGUCUGUGUAUCCCUAACAGUUGCUUAUUUAUAGCCUUUAUAUAAAUAGAAUUAUACUGUA